rnacentral:rRNA from 1 species
UACAGAGGGUGCGAGCGUUAUUCGGAUUCAUUGGGCGUAAAGCGCGUGUAGGCGGUUCGGUAAGUCUGAUGUGAAAUCCCAGAGCUCAAAUCUGGAAGUGCAUUGGAUACUGCCAAGCUAGAGUAUAGGAGAGGAGAGCGGAAUUCCUGGUGUAGAGGUGAAAUUCGUAGAUAUCAGGAGGAACAACAGUGGCGAAGGCGGCUCUCUGGACUAUUACUGACACUGAGACGCGAAAGCGUGGGGAGCAAACAGG